rnacentral:rRNA from 1 species
AGCGAACGCUGGCGGCAGGCCUAACACAUGCAAGUCGAGCGCCCCGCAAGGGGAGCGGCAGACGGGAGAGUAACACGUGGGAACAUGCCCUUCAGUUCGGAACAACCCAGGGAAACUUGGGCUAAUACCGAAUACGUCCGUAAGGAGAAAGAUUUAUCGCUGAAGGAUUGGCCCGCGUCCGAUUAGCUAGUUGGUGAGGUAACGGCUCACCAAGGCGACGAUCGGUAGCUGGUCUGAGAGGAUGAUCAGCCUCACUGGGACUGAGACACGGCCCAGACUCCUACGGGAGGCAGCAGUGGGGAAUAUUGGACAAUGGGCGCAAGCCUGAUCCAGCCAUGCCGCGUGGGUGAUGAAGGCCCUAGGGUUGUAAAGCCCUUUCGGCGGGGAAGAUAAUGACGGUACCCGCAGAAGAAGCCCCGGCAAACUUCGUGCCAGCCGCCGCCGUAA